CCUUGGAGGAGGCAUUAGAUUGUUAACUCUUUUGAGUGGACCUACAAACCCUGCUCUGUUCUUGCCGUUGUCCUGACCAGUUGGUUGUCUAACCCCUGCUCUGUUCUCCCGAAGGUUGCUGACAGCUGAACCCUGCCCUGGAUUCCACUUCAAGGUUCUGUCUCAUUUCCUGCUAGCUGUCUGUGGACCUCCACCCUGGAUUAUCCGCUGUGGUUCAGUCUCCUCCCAAACUGGUAAAUACUUCGAUGAACUUACCUCAGCGCGAGGGUCUCCCUUCAUCUCACGGACCAAAGUGCAGAAUUGUUCCUCGCUCUCCAUGCUCUGCCUGUCCACCCUCCAACAACAUUCACCAACCAGAGAAACUCUCCCACACAGCAUACCAACCUGCCAACUUCAGUCUCCGUGGCUUGCUCACUUUUCCCCUGACUCCACGCAUUUACCACCAAUGAGCCGAUUCCAGAAGCCAGACAGCUACGGAGUUCCAACACUGCCAGGAAACAUAAUUUCAAUAAACCUUUUUAUAUCA